UGCCCGAUGGUGUAAUGGUAGCACAACAGUCUCUGAAUCUGUUUGUCAUGGUUCGAAUCCAUGUCGGGCAACCA
rnacentral:tRNA from 1 species